rnacentral:rRNA from 1 species
GUCCACGCCGUAAACUAUGGAAGCUAGCCGUCAGUAAGCUUGCUGAGUGGUGGCGCAGCUAACGCAUUAAGCUUCCCGCCUGGGGAGUACGGUCGCAAGAUUAAAACUCAAAGGAAUUGACGGGGGCCCCGCACAAGCGGUGGAGCAUGUGGUUUAAUUCGAAGCAACGCGCAGAACCUUACUUACCCUUGACAUGUCAAGUAUGGUAACCAGAGAUGGAGACCUUCAGUUCGGCUGGCUGGAACACAGGUGCUGCAUGGCUGUCGU